CCUACGGUGCGCUGCAGUGGGGAAUAUUGGACAAUGGGCGAAAGCCUGAUCCAGCCAUGCCGCGUGUGUGAAGAAGGCCUUCGGGUUGUAAAGCACUUUCAGUGGGGAAGAAAGCCUUGGGGCUAAUACCCUCGAGGAAGGACAUCACCCACAGAAGAAGCACCGGCUAACUCCGUGCCAGCAGCCGCGGUAAUACGGAGGGUGCGAGCGUUAAUCGGAAUUACUGGGCGUAAAGCGCGCGUAGGCGGUCUGAUAAGCCGGUUGUGAAAGCCCCGGGCUCAACCUGGGACGGCAUCCGGAACUGUCAGGCUAGAGUGCAGGAGAGGAAGGUAGAAUUCCCGGUGUAGCGGUGAAAUGCGUAGAGAUCGGGAGGAAUACCAGUGGCGAAGGCGGUCUUCUGGACUGACACUGACGCUGAGGUGCGAAAGCGUGGGUAGCAAACAGGAUUAGAUACCCCUAUAGUC
rnacentral:rRNA from 1 species